AUUGAACGCUGGCGGCAGGCCUAACACAUGCAAGUCGAGCGGAUGAAGGGAGCUUGCUCCUGGAUUCAGCGGCGGACGGGUGAGUAAUGCCUAGGAAUCUGCCUGGUAGUGGGGGAUAACGUCCGGAAACGGGCGCUAAUACCGCAUACGUCCUGAGGGAGAAAGUGGGGGAUCUUCGGACCUCACGCUAUCAGAUGAGCCUAGGUCGGAUUAGCUAGUUGGUGGGGUAAAGGCCUACCAAGGCGACGAUCCGUAACUGGUCUGAGAGGAUGAUCAGUCACACGGGAACUGAGACCCGGUCCAGCCUCCUACGGGGGGCAGCAGGGGGAAAUUUUGGAAAAUGGGCAAAAGCCUUCCCCACCCAUGCCGGGUGGGGAAAAAAGGUUUUCGGUUUGUAAAGCCCUUUAAGUUGGGAGGAAGGGAAGUAAGUUAAUCCCUUGCUUUUUUGCCGUUCCCAAAAGAAAAAGCCCCGGCUAACUUCGU
rnacentral:rRNA from 1 species